UUCGUUUUGCAUUGUUGGCUUAGUGUAGAUUUUUUUUUUUUUUUAAUCAGGCAAUGUUAGAAUAUAUUGUUUAAAUAGAAUAAAAAGUAGCCCUUUCUCUGAAGACUUUCCAACCUAGGUCACAGAUCCGAUAAGUAGAAAUCCACAGGCUGAUCCCUGUGCCUGUGAAGAGACAUACUGGCUUAAUGUUUAAGAUUUAUGGAGUCUUUAAAUCAGAAUUGGAUCCAUAUCUACAAUUGGAAGAAAAGAUUUUGAGGUACUCCAACAACUCUGUACCACAAGCAGUUAAAUGUCUGCAAAAUCAGCAAUACACACACACGACGAGAGACAUGCUUGGAUGGGAUGGGCUCCACCUUUCCCCUAAAGGUAAGCGUGUGUGUUCUUCUGGGUUGGCAGACGUCCUUCCAGCGGGCUUUAAACUAGGCUCAUUGGGGAAAGGGGAAGUUGAGGGCGGAGGAAACAUCAGACUGCCAGACCAAGCAACAUCCACAACUACAGCCCAGCCUAGACCAACGAGUGAAACAAAUAAACAGGUAACCGACAGAGGCCAGGGCACCGCUGGGACUAGGGGGUCAGCACACACAUCCACAGGAGGCCUCAAACGCCUCUACACAAAUGCUUGUAGUAUGGGAAACAAGCAGGAGGAACUCACCCUCCUGCUAGCUGACACUAGCCUGGACAUGGUGGGGAUCACUGAAAUGUGGUGGGACUCAACGCGUGACUGGGCAGUGAAUGUCAAGGGCUAUACGCUGUACAGGAGGGACAGGAUAGGAAGGAGAGGUGGGGGUGUGACACUCUAUAUUAAGGAGGAAUACACAUCCUCGUCAAUUAGCAGGGAGUCAGAGGAAGGGCACUCUGAAGUGCUUUGGGUUAGAGUACACGGCAGUCGAGGGGAAAGAGACUUAAUGGUGAGGGUCUACUACAGACCUCCCAACCAAGGGGAAGAGCUUGACCAGGAAUUCUUGGGUCAGCUCACGGAGGUAGCGAAGUCUAAGAAAGUGGUAGUCAUGGGGGACCUGAACUUCCCGGACAUCUCCUCAG
rnacentral:lncRNA from 1 species